GAUGAACGCUGACAGCAUGCUUAACACAUGCAAGUCUACUUGAACUUCGGUUUGGGUGGCGGACGGGUGAGUAACGCGUAAAGAACUUGCCUCACAGAUAGGGACAACAUUUGGAAACGAAUGCUAAUACCUGAUAUUAUGAUUUUAGGGCAUCCUAGAAUUAUGAAAGCUAUAUGCACUGUGAGAGAGCUUUGCGUCCCAUUAGCUAGUUGGAGAGGUAACGGCUCACCAAGGCGAUGAUGGGUAGCCGGCCUGAGAGGGUGAUCGGCCACAAGGGGACUGAGACACGGCCCUUACUCCUACGGGAGGCAGCAGUGGGGAAUAUUGGACAAUGGACCAAGAGUCUGAUCCAGCAAUUCUGUGUGCACGAUGAAGUUUUUCGGAAUGUAAAGUGCUUUCAGUUGGGAAGAAAAAAAUGACGGUACCAACAGAAGAAGUGACGGCUAAAUACGUG
rnacentral:rRNA from 1 species